UUCACACAAGUGCUACAUCCAAGCCAGUCGUGAAACAAAAUGAUUUGGAUUUUCUCAUUUUUUCAAAGAAUACUUACUGAUGUGUUACGGAAGCUAAAAGGGAAAACCAAAUUGAUGAUAAUCAAUUCCUAUGGACAUAUCAAAGCAGGUGUUGAAUAUCUGAAAGCUCUAUUACCGUUUAUCUUAGUUUGGCAUGUGAUCAGAGAUUUUGAUAUUUCUGGAUGGAACUGGGCAUGACUGAUGGAGCUGAAGAUCUAUUUGGCAAGAUAAAACAUGCUCAAACGGAACCGUUGAGGAGUAGUACUAAACAGAAUGUGAUUAAAUCCCCACCGUGUUCAGAAGAAGAG
rnacentral:lncRNA from 1 species